AAUUAACAUCUCUCGACCAUACCAAGAUGGCGCUCGUUGGGUGUAUCAUUCCGCUUGUUGUGUGUUUCGUGGUCUUUUUUGGCUAGGUUCGGCGACGUGCAAGAUGACUGAGUCUUCGGUGACAAUCCGCACCCGUCGGUACAUGACGAACCGGCUUCUAAACCGGCGUCAAAUGAUUGUUCACGUUGUGCAUCCGAACCGAGCAACUGUUUCAAAACAAGAGGUCCGUGAGCAGCUGGCCAAGCUCUACAAAACAACGCCGGACGUAAUCUUUUGCUUUGGCUUUCGUACCAACUUCGGAGGUGGAAAAACAGUCGGCUUUGCGCUGAUCUACGACACCCUGGAUUAUGCCAAGAAGAUCGAGCCCAAGUACCGUUUGGCUCGGCAGAACCUUGGUCCUAAAGGUAGAACAGGCCGCAAGCAGCGUAAAGAGCGCAAAAACAGAAUGAAAAAAGUGCGCGGUAUUGAAAAGAAAAAGGUUGGAGCCGCUGCGGGCAAAAAGCGUUAAACUAUGGAGUACUACAGGCUCUUGUCGUGCUCAGUACCGACCUUCAAACCUGCCGCAAGCCGGGCAAAAUGAGGGUAAUCUGUGCGAGAAUAAGCGGAGCGUCGUUUUUCGUCUUUCGACAACUACCUUCGUUAACCCAUAAAUAUGGGAGUCUCCAGCUAAAGGGGAUCAAGGAAUAGAGGUUGUGGGGUGUGACGAAUAAAGACAAUUGUAAAUUGAG